UAAGAAGUGACACUGGAGCGAGUCUUUAUCCUCACAGUGCAGCGGUGGAUUCAGCCUGUUUAAGCAGGAGGAGCAGUGAGUCCUGAGGCUGUGCUACCAACCAGGAUUUCAUCUGAUCCAGGACAACCUGAGAUGGAUACUUGCAAAUCUGUGAUAUUCUGCUGGAUUCU